GACGAACGCUGGCGGCGUGCUUAACACAUGCAAGUCGAACGGAAAGGCCCUGCUUUUGUGGGGUGCUCGAGUGGCGAACGGGUGAGUAACACGUGAGUAACCUGUCCUUGACUUUGGGAUAACUUCAGGAAACUGGGGCUAAUACCGGAUAGGAGCUCCUGCUGCAUGGUGGGGGUUGGAAAGUUUCGGCGGUUGGGGAUGGACUCGCGGCUUAUCAGCUUGUUGGUGGGGUAGUGGCUUACCAAGGCUUUGACGGGUAGCCGGCCUGAGCGGGUGACCGGCCACAUUGGGACUGAGAUACGGCCCAGACUCCUACGGGAGGCAGCAGGGGAGAAUAUUGCACAAUGGGCGGAAGCCUGAUGCAGCGACGCCGCGUGCGUGAUGACGGCCUUCGGGUUGUAAACCGCUUUCGCCUGUGACGAAGCGUUAGUGACGGUAAUGGGUAAAGAAGCACCGGCUAACUACGUG
rnacentral:rRNA from 1 species